UCUCAGUGAUGCAGUCCCAAUAGAUCCUUCCGACCUGCCACUGUGGACUCAAUAGCAGGGAGAUGAAGAGAAAAGUGACUGAGAGA
ensembl:snoRNA SNORD62 Small nucleolar RNA SNORD62